CAAUAGCGUAUAUUAAAGUUGUUGCGGUUAAAAAGCUCGUAGUUGGAUCUCAGUUCCGGACUGACGGUGCACCGCCCGGUGUCUUUCCGUCACGCUCCGAGCAGCAGGGAUGACCCUGCCCCGGCGGCUCGCACGGGGUGCUCUUCACCGAGUGUCCCGCGUGGCCGGCACGUUUACUUUGAAAAAAUUAGAGUGCUCAAAGCAGGCUGCUUGAACGGCCUGAAUGGUGAUGCAUGGAAUAAUGAAAUAGGACCUCGGCUCUAUUUUGUUGGUUUUCGGAUCCAGAGGUAAUGACUAAUAGAAACAGGCGGGGGCAUUCGUACUGCGACGUGAGAGGUGAAAUUCUUGGACCGUCGCAUGACGAACUACUGCGAAAGCAUUUGCCAAGGAUGUUUUCAUUAAUCAAGAACGAAAGUUAGAGGUUCGAAGGCGAUCAGAUACCGCCCUAGUUCUAACCAUAAACGAUGCUGACUAGCGAUCCGCCGGCGUUAUUCCCAUGACCCGGCGGGCAGCUUCCGGGAAACCAAAGUCUUUGGGUUCCGGGGGAAGUAUGGUUGCAAAGCUGAAACUUAAAGGAAUUGACGGAAGGGCACCACCAGGAGUGGAGCCUGCGGCUUAAUUUGACUCAACACGGGGAACCUCACCAGGCCCGGACACCGGAAGGAUUGACAGAUUGAGAGCUCUUUCUCGAUUCGGUGGGUGGUGGUGCAUGGCCGUUCUUAGUUGGUGGAGUGAUUUGUCUGGUUAAUUCCGAUAACGAACGAGACUCUGGCCUAUUAACUAGUCGACGGAUCUCCAGCGAUGGUGUCCGGUUCGCAACGUCUUCUUAGAGGGACUGGCGGCAUUCUAGCCGCACGAGAUUGAGCAAUAACAGGUCUGUGAUGCCCUUAGAUGUUCUGGGCCGCACGCGCGCUACACUGAAGGGAUCAACGUGUUGUCCCCCUCCGAGAGGAGCGGGUAACCCGUUCAAACCCCUUCAUGAUAGGGAUUGGGGCUUGCAAUUGUUUCCCAUGAACGAGGAAUUCCCAGUAAGCGCAAGUCAUCAGCUUGCGUUGAUUACGUCCCUGCCCUUUGUACACACCGCCCGUCGCUACUACCGAUUGAAUGAUUUAGUGAGGCCUUCGGACUGGCGCUCCUGGAUGCUGGACCCUACCUUUUCGGAGGGGGGCCCUCGCCUCGAGCUGACGGAAAGAUGUCCAAACUUGAUCAUUUAGAGGAAGUAAAAGUCGUAACAAGGUUUCCGU
rnacentral:rRNA from 1 species